CCUGAAGGAGCUGAACGUUUUGAUAUAUAAUUUAGUACAAUUAGUGAAAGAUAGUGAAAGUAGUUAAGCGACAAAAAACGUACGGAAGACAGAAUAAUAAUAAUAAUAAUAAUAAUAAAGAUAAAGAAAAACAGAAACACUAUAAUGAGAAUGCAUGGAAUGCAUUCUCACUGAUAAAGAAAAACAGAAACACAAUAGUGAGAAUGCAUGGAAUGCAUUCUCACUGAU